UUGGAUUUAGCUUAGUUAGUAGAGUGCUUGCCUCCCAUGCAUGAGGCCCUGGGUUCAAUCCCCAGCACCAAAA
rnacentral:tRNA from 1 species